CACCCCUAGUUGGUUUUGGAGUAUUGACGACAAACCUAGUUGAGGGACUAAUGUGUUUGUGAGAAUUGCAGGAUAACACAGGUAGAAGUCCCUCAUUGAUUCGGUUUUAUUACCAGAGAUGACCCCUAAAAAUGUACGAAGACAUUGAAGUCAAUGGUGGUAUAUGAAGAUAUUCAUUUUGAAGACUAUGACAAGAGAAGACACCGCAUGAAGCCUAUGGAGCUCGAAGACUUAGAUCUUUCGUAGUUCUCUUUCAUUUGUGUUGAGUCAUAGGAACCACCGUACUGUUAAGUGGGGUCCAAGAGAAACAGUCAGAACGACUGAAGUGAUGCCUAAACAAAAAACCUAUGUCUUCGAGUGAAGACUAUGAGAGCAAAUCUUGUCCAGAGUCGGACAAGUCAGCUUUGCUUGUAGCCCAAGUAAAGUUGCCGUGUGAGUUUGAAAUCUGACCGUUGGAACACGUGUCAGUUCCUUAGUGACCCAGGGUCAUUUCGGACAAAUCAGGUCGGAUUGCCUAGUGGCUAUAAAUAGCCCACCCCCUACAACCAUAAACGGUUGGCUGCUCAGAUUUCAGUGCACGGUUUUUGUCGUUUGAGAGCAACCCACCUCAAAGCCUUUGAGAGAGAAUACCUAGCGAGGAAAAAGCCCUAACCACCCAGAGCCAGAGCAAAUUGGGCAUCACUUAAGUCUUCUUAUCUGAGUGAUCUGAAGACUUAUUACACUUGAGGACUGUGCAUCCUCCAGCCGGUUAGGCGUCGCGUUCUGAGCAUCCAAGAGUCAUUGUGGAUUGCCGGUGAACGAAGUCUGUGAAGGUUUGGGAGUCUACCUUGAAGACUUACCAGAGUGAUUGGGCGAGGUAUGUGUGACCUUAGCUCAAGGAGAAUACAGUGAGGACUGGGUGUCCUGAGCUGCGGUUCAGGACUGGGUGUCCGGGACUGUGUGUCCCAAUGUUUAAAUACCUAGCCGCUCCAACCAGACGUACAGUUGUCACAGCAACUGGAACUGGUCCAACAAAUCAUUGUCUUCAAUGAGUCACUGGUUUCAUCUUCACUUCCCUUUACAUAUUGUUACUCGUUGUGAAGUCAUUGCAUGUUUGAUGUAUCCUUAGUCUUCACUGAGUGACUGUGUGUUCUGUUUGGCUUCAUAAUAUCUUCCUACCUGAUCCGUAUUACACUGCAGUUAUUCGUCACUGUGUUUUCACUCUGUUGAUACUUGACCAUGGCUUGCCUAGCGUAGUCAUAACUUCCACGUUUUGAAGACUUUCAUAAAAAUUGCCUAUUCACCCCCCCUCUAGUCGAUAUAACGCACUUUUAAUUGGUAUCAGAGCAAGGUGCUCCCUUGUUCUAUGUGAUUCGGUUUAACCACCUGGAGUUUUAGUUAUGUCGACUACAGGGAUAAUCAAAGUCUCCGCUGCGUGCCCCGUCUUUGAUGGAACUGAAUAUCCCUACUGGAAGAAUAAGAUGCGCAUGCAUCUUGAAGCCAUUGACGUCGAUCUAUGGUAUGUCGUCGAGAACGGUGUUCCCAAGGCUAGAGAAGGUGUCACUGCUGCUGAUGUCAAGAAGUUCACUCAACUGGACUCUACUGCCAAGAAUAUCAUAUGUGGUCAUCUAACCAAAGGACAGUAUGGCCGUGUGAGUGCUUUGAAGACAUCCAAGCUGGUCUGGGACUGGCUCUCCAAGGUCAAUGAAGGCAUCUCAACCCAGAGAGAUCAGAGAAUCAGUGUUCUUCGCAACCUCUUCAACCGCUUCAAGCGAAAUGACAAUGAGAAUGUCCAGCACACAUUUGACCGACUUACUGACAUCACAAAUGAGCUUCAAGCCCUCGGCGCCACUGAGAUCACCAAACAUGAAAUCGUCAAGACGCUGCUGAGAUCACUUGAUAGUUCGUUUGACAUCCUAGCCCUGAUGAUUCAAGAACGUCCUGAUUUCAAGACACUCGAUCCGUCUGACAUACUCGAGAGACUCAACACACAUGAGUUUCAGCUUUCUGAGAAAAGAGAUAUCUACGGUCCAAACUACGGGCGAACUCGUGCCCUGAAGGCAAAAGAUGUUUCCUCAUCUGAAGAAGAAUCUGACAGCAGUUUUGAUGAUCCUGAAGACAUUGGAAGGGAACUUGCAAUGCUUGUGAAGAAGUUCCAAAGAUUCACCAAGAAGAAAGGCUUUAGAAAGUCUUCAUGAUCAAGCUCAAGGAAUGAUGAAGCUUCUGCUCAUGACUACAAGAAGAAAACAUGCCACAAGUGCAAGAAAACUGGACACUUCAUCUCUGAGUGUCCACAGUGGGACAAUGAGAACAGAAAGAAGAAGAAGAGCAAGGAAUAUGACUCUGACGACAAGAAGAAGAAGAAAUACUCAAAGUCUUCUUCCAAGUCUUCCUCAAAGUCUUCAUCACACAAGAAGAGCUCAUCGGGCAAGGCACGUGCGUUUGUUGGCAAGGAAAUGGAUUCAGAGGAGGAGUCCACUUCUGAGGAGGCAGAGGUGGAGUCUAAGGAGGAGUCUGAUUCUAGCAUUGCAAGUAUGGCUACAGCAUACGUUGCCAAGUCCAUCUUCAACACUGAAGACAAUGACUCCAUCACCGACACCGAUGCAAAUGACAAGGACUGCUCCGAUCCUACCUACUGCUUCAUGGCACGCGGUGCCAAGGGAAACACACGCACUACUCACUAUCAAACAUCUAGUGACGAUGACUCUGAUUGUGAUUCAAAACCCAGCUACAAAACACUUGCUAAAAUUGCAACUGAACAACAGAAAGCCAUGGAACAUAUUCAAAAACUGUUAGACAGAAGCAAUGAUCUGUUGGGUGCUGAAAUGACUCGAUCUGAAUCCUUAAUUGAAGACAUAAAAAAUCUUCACGUUAAGUAUCAGGAACUUGAAGAUCGUCAUGAUACUCUCUCAACAACUCAUGAAAAGCUUUCCUAUGAUUAUCUUCAAAGGAAGCAAGAUCUUGAGAAAUUGAUAGCGGCUCAUGAAGAUCUUCAAAAGGAAAAAGAGUCACUUCGCACCGAACAGAUCAGUUCCGCUCAGGAAGGAUUUGAACCACCAUGUCUUAAAUGCAUUGAGCGUGAUAAUGUUGCUUCUGUUGCUGAAUGUUCUACUGCUACUGCUAUUGCAAUAUCUUUACCUGUUGAUGUGUUAACUAACCCCUCUGCUGAGGAUACCACUGCUAUUGCUGAUGAGAAUGCUAGGUUGAAGACAUUGCUUGAAACAGGGGUGUACAAAAGUCUUAAAGGGCAUCAGACAUUAUGUGAUGUCCUCAAGAAGCAGAUUCUGAACCGAAACCCUAGGAAAGAGGGUGUUGGGUUCGUAAGGAAAAUGAAUGCAGAUGGCUCUUACUGGAAACCUGAGCAGUACCCCAAAACCAAGUGGGUUGCUGCAAAGGAACCUAUAGCAGAUCCAUCCAAUUUAUCUGGAUUCACUUGUGCUAACCCCAUUAUCAUUGAUGAAUCCUUUGAUGCAAACUAUGUACUGUUUAAGAAUCAGAAUGGUGAAGUGCUUGCCAGGUACAUUGGUACUAACUGCGGGAAUGUACCGCCUAUGAAGAAGAUCUGGGUUCCGAAAAAGUGUCUGGAAAAUCUUCCUGUGAAUGUCUUCAUGACUCCUCACAUGAAGAAGACAAACCUCAUACCAAAGGCUACAUACGGUCCAAAGUCUUCAUACAGACAGAGGACUCACCUGAGUUGCACUAAUGCAAAUGUUUUGCAGGGAAACCACACUCAGGCAUAUGAAUAUGAGAGCGGUUCAUCAAACCGCCAUGUUCAUAUGACCAAGAACUAUUCUGCCUAUUCAUAUGAGUACUAUUGUCCGCCUGCUAGACUGUUUGCUAGGGCUCCAAAGCCAAAAUUCUCAGAUGUUGCACUUAGACUUAUUGCUUCUAAGCCGCCCUUGAAGAUGUGGGUGGCUAAGAAAGCUUGACUCUCUUUUGCAGGGAAAGGUCUCCAGCAAAAAACCAAAAUCUUCUGACGCUAUUGUUGGGGACCUUAAACAUCUUGUAGGGCGCAAGAUCAAAUGCCCGAAUGGCAUCACUAUGUACUUCGUUCCUGAAUCACAUACUACUCUCCCUAUUAGUCCUAAUCUGGAUCUAAGUUUUCAUAACCCACUGGUUCGUCAAAUGUUUUUGCUUCACAAUUCUCUUCGUGAAGCCUAUCCCCCUAACUGCACUGUAGGGUACGACACCAGCGUCUUCAGAAUGGAUUAUUGACAGUGGGUGUACAAAUCACAUGACCGGAAAAAGAAGCCUUCUUAUGGACUCAACCUUACGUCCAUCCGACAAAAGUCACAUCACAUUCGCUGACACUGGUAAAAGUAAGGUAUUGGGUCUAGGUAGAGUUAGAAUCUCAAAGGAUCAACACAUGGAUAAAGUCAUGCUUGUUGAAUCCCUUGGCUUCAACUUAAUGUCUGUCUCAAUGCUUUGCGAUUUGAACAUGAUUGUAAUAUUUGGAAAAUAUCGUUGCCUGGUACUAAUGGAAUCUGACAAGUCUCUAGUGUUUGAAGGGUAUCAGAAAGAUGAUUUGUACGUGGUAGAUUUCUCAGCAGGGCCACAGCUUGCAGUAUGUCUUCUGGCAAAAGCUUCAGAAUGCUGGCUUUGGCAUCGGAGGCUUGGGCAUGCUGGCAUGAGGAACCUCCACACCCUUGCAAAGAAGAAGCAUGUCAUAGGCAUCGAGGGCGUCAAGUUCAAGAAAGAUCACUUAUUGUGAUGGCCAGAACGAUGCUAGAUGAAUACAAGACUCCAAGAAAAUUCUGGCCUGAAGCCAUUGACAAUGCAUGUCAUACAAUCAAUCGUGUUUAUCUUCACAAGCUUCUGAACAAGACAUCUUAUGAACUCCUAACUGGCAAGAAGCCAAAUGUCAGUUGCUUCAGAGUAUUUGGCGCAAGGUGCUGGAUCAAGGACCCACACCAUACCUCAAAGUUUGCACCAAAAGCACAUGAGGGUUUUAUGCUUGGAUAUGGAAAGGAUUCACACUCCUACAGAGUCUUCAAUCUCUUUCAUUACAAAGUGGUUGAAACAGUGGAUGUGCGGUUCGAUGAGACAAAUGGUUCAUAAAGAGAGCAACUGCCAGAUGUGCUAGAUGAUGUUCCAGCUAGUGAAUCAAUCAAGCUAAUGGGAACUGGAGAGAUUAUACCUUCUGAAGCUCAUCCUGAAGAAGAACUUAUCAUCUCAGCACCUGAUCCACAUGAAGACAAUGCUCAGCCUGAAGACAUUCCUCCCAACAACAACUCAGAUUAGCAAGAGCAAAGUCUUCGCCCUGUACAUCCUCGUGUUGCCAAUGAAGUGCAGAUUGACAGAAUAAUUGACAGCAUCAAUGCACCUGGUCCACUCACUCGUUCAAGGGCAACUCAACUGGCAAAUUUCUGUGGGCACUUCGCAUUCGUCUCAAUUACAGAACCCAAGAAAGUUGAAGAAGCCUUCAUGGAACCUGAAUGGAUUCAAGCUAUGCAAGAAGAGCUUGAACAGUUUGAGCUGAACAAUGUAUGGGAACUGGUUAAGCGACCUGAUCCACGGAAGCACAAUAUAAUAGGCACCAAAUGGAUAUACCACAACAAGCAAGAUGAGCAUGGUCAAAUUGUCAGGAACAAAGCUUGUCUCGUUGCUCAAGGAUAUACUCAAGUGGAAGGCAUUGAUUUCGAUGAAACAUUUGCUCCUGUGGCCAGACUUGAAGCCAUACGUAUACUGCUGGCCUAUGCAAAUCAUCAUAACAUACUGCUAUAUCAAAUGGAUGUGAAGAGUGCCUUUCUCAAUGGCAAGAUUGAAGAAGAAGUGUAUGUUGCACAACCGCCUGGGUUUGACGAUCCAAAACAUCCUGACAUGGUAUACAAGCUCAACAAGGCACUGUAUGGCCUCAAACAAGCCCCUCGGGCCUGGUAUGACACACUCAAAUACUUCCUGAAGAGCAAAGGCUUCAUACCUGGUUCCCUAGAUCCCACUCUCUUCACGAAGACAUAUGAUGGUGAACUGUUUGUGUGCCAAAUAUAUGUGGAUGACAUUAUCUUCGACUGCACCAAUCAAAAGUACAGUGAAGAGUUUGGCUAUAUGAUGCAAGAGCAAUAUCAGAUGUCUAUGAUGGGGGAGCUGAAGUUCUUCCUCGGUCUUCAAAUAUGACAACAACGCAACGGCAUCUUCAUAUCUCAAGAGAAGUAUCUCAAAGAGUGCCUGAAGAAGUUUGGUAUGCAAGACUGCAAAGGCUUCACAACACCAAUGCCAGCCAAACAUCAUCUGGGUCCCGACGACAAUGGUAAAGAGUUCGAUCAAAAGGUAUACCGCUCCAUGAUUGGUUCUUUGCUUUAUUUAUGUGCAUCUAGGCCAGAUAUUAUGCUUAGUGUUUGCAUGUGUGCUCGAUUUCAAGCGGCACCAAAGGAGUCGCAUCACUUAGCUGUGAAGCGAAUUCUUCGAUAUUUGGCUCACACCCCAACUCUCGGAUUAUGGUAUCCAAAGGGCUCAGAGUUUGAUCUGGUUGGAUUCUCGGAUGCUGAUUAUGCUGGUGACAAGGUUGAUCGGAAGUCUACAUCAGGCACAUGCCACUUUCUGUUACAAUCACUUGUGUGUUGGUCUUCAAAGAAGCAGAACUGUGUAUCCCUCUCCACUGCUGAAUCUGAAUACAUUGCUGCUGGAUCUUGCUGCGCUCAGCUUCUAUGGAUGAAGCAAACUCUCAAGGACUAUGGCGUUCAUCUGAAGCAAGUGCCACUUUACUGCGACAACAAAAGCGCCAUAAAGAUUGCCAAUAACCCAGUUCAGCACUCGAAGACAAAGCACAUAGAAAUUCGUCAUCACUUUCUCAGAGAACAUGUCGUGAAGGAAGAUAUUGAUAUCAUACACGUCAACACUGAAGAGCAAUUGGCAGGUAUCUUCACCAAGCCCUUGGAUGAGAAGAGAUUUUGCAAGUUACGGUGUGAGCUAAAUAUCCUGGAAUCCUCAAAUGUCCUGUGAUCAGGCACACAUCCUAACACUUAUGCAUAUUGAUGACUUAGAUGUGCAACACACAAAGUAACGUAUAUCUUCAAUCAAUGAAGACUUACAUUCUAAGUGUGAAUACAUUAAUGUGGAAUUUGACUUUGGAGCGCCACGAUAAUUGUGCGCCGUGUCUGAGUCUAAUACUUUCUAUACGGUGGGUAACGCCACCACCAAACGUUCUAUUUUGAAGUGUUUCACUCACGGCGUUACCUUGCAAUGUCUUCACAUUUGGUUUGGCUUCAAUCUCAACAUGUCUUCAUGAUUAUCUUCACUAUGUUGAUUAUAUGGAUAUAUAUAUAUAUAUACUAGUGUUCUGUCCUCUACAACAUUCACUUAUAGUUGUGUCUUCUUAUUUGAAUCUUUUGAACUAAGUGAAUGUGAUCGGACCCUAACCUCUCUAUGCUCUCUAUCUCAAAUUCUAUCUCUCCAAGUCAUAUGCAUUCUAUUGAAACUGUCGAAUGUCUUCUCUGCGUCCUUGACAGGAGAAGACACAGAGACAACCUUUAAGUCCGUUUUCAAUGCUCAUUUAUCCAUAUGAAAUCCGGAGAAGUAGGAACGACCACCCGACAAUCCAGGCGUGCGUGGGACGUGGAACUGCCCCCAAAAUUUCGCAUGAUGGCCACGUGUUACUCAGAUGCGAAUCGCCAGGGGCACCUGUGUAAUAGCGCAGUGCCGCCCCUAUAACUAUAAAUACACACUCACUGCGGUCAUUAUCCCUUCUUCCACCCUCGCACGAACCCUAGCGCCAUCGCUAGACCUCGACGACGCCGGCGACGAAGCGCUUCGCUGCCGCAACCUCUCCGACACCGUCUUCACGCCGAUCGCGGACAUCGUCCUCUCCGCCGUCGCCGUAGGUGUCCUCCGUCGCCAAGUUAGGGCACGAAAGAUUGAACUGCUCGGCCUCAUCUUCCUCUCCGUCUAGCAGUUCCCAGUGUGGUAAAUAAAACUUCUUUUUACAUCACCUUUUGAUCCUAUGGCUUUGUCACCUUCUACCAUAAGAAGUUUCUAUUCACACAAGUUAGAUCUCUCUCAUACUGCAUCUCAUAACAUGCCUAGUAUAUUCACCUAUGCUUCACAAAGUAGUUAGAUUCCUCAUUUGUACUGAUCUAUGGGUUCGUACAAAUCUGGAACCAACUUCUUAUCUAUGAGUUAAUGUCUUCGCACGAUGAGGUCAAUGUCUUCUAAAUUGAUUUAUCUUCAAAAUCUUCUGAGAAUGCAUAUGACCUCUUCCCCUUCCCUCGCACCUUAAUGCUGUCAUAGGUACAUGUCCGUGGGAGAAUCCUUUGGUUCUCAUAGUCUGCAUUCAUUUGCAGAGUUCUUACAGCAUCACAUAAAUUCUCCUGAAGCUAGUUCCUGUUGGUCCAGCAAGAGAAAGCCUUUGAAGCCUUUGAACGUCUUGAAGCCCUUCAAGUUAAAGUUUAUGGCUUCAGAGAUAGCAGCAAGGAAGGGGGGCAGACAGCGUCAUGGCGGAACAUCCAGAGAUCUGCCAGAUGAACUCGCAGAAAUGUAUAAAACAGAUCCUGAAGAGAAUUACAGUCAGCGUAAGACCCAAAUCCAAUGGAUUUGACACUAUUGGGCAGAACAAUGGUUCCAAUACCGCUUCGUAACCCAGGAGUAUGCUGAGAAAAACGCCAUCAAGAGACCGUGGGGAGACAUCCUAUACAAGAAUUUUCUACCCAGGUCCAGAGAUGAAGCUAUUGCUCAAAGCUUCUAUCCAUGCAUGGUCCGUGGACCACAGCCUGCAAAUGCACAUCCGUCGUCACUACUCUGGUGUCAUGAUGACAAUCUAUUCAAGCGCAACUUUCAGUUUUCCCAAAACUCAGCGAAGCAGAACAAGAAGAAAUUUGGGUUAGACUUCAACCCUGGUCCCUCCGCACCAAGGGCAAAUGGCACACGCGAGGCAGACCCCAAUGUCAUCGGUCCUUAUGCAAACCUUGAAGGCCUCAUCACCCGCAUCUUAGUUCAAGGGACUGCAGUAAAUGAGCCUCCAGCUCACUCUGAAUCAGAAGAAGCGCCUGUAGUGCCGAAGCCAAAGCAGAUGAAGAAGCCAAAAGCUUCAAAGCCGGCAGCCCCUUCACCAAAAAUCUCAAGGGCGAAGCCAUUGGCAACUGCACCUCCUGAAGUCAGUGUGUAGUCUGAAGACGUAUCCCGCAUCUCCAAGCCCCAGAAGAGCAAGAUGCCUCAGCCACACAGCGGUCAAGAGCUCACAGCUGCUGCUAUUCUGCGCAACGACGCCAUUGAUCUGUCAAGUGAUGAAGACCUUGCAGAUGACGCUCUUGAGCAACUCAUCAAGAGCAAAGAAGAAGCAGAAAUCUUCAAUAAUCUACCUCUCUUUGAUGUCGCCAUCAUCCACGACUUCAUUGACGAGUGGUUUGACACACCAAACAUCAGCUUUGAUGAUUUGCAGCUACCCAUUGGCCUCAGUGUUGCCUUCCAAGGAGCCAUUGCUUCAGAACUAGCCAUCGCCCAGCGCGUUGUUGAGCUGAAGCAGAAGAUUGACUAUGAAAAGACUCUGUUCAAGAAGCAUAUGGCUAAGCUCAGCGUGCAAGAAGUGAAGAACUUCAAGAUCAUGAUGCACGAGCUCAAGGAAAACUUCCUGAAGAAAUGCGCCUAAGCUCAAGGUUCACGCGAGCGCAUGAAGACUCUGGCUGACAGAUGUGUGCAAGCCUAUAAUGAGGCUGAGAAGCGCAAGGCACUUGGGCGUCCUGGCAUCGACCCCAGGAUGGCCGCGAAGAAGAAGAAGAAGCCUACUACGGCUGAACCCGAUGCACCAAGGCAGGAAGCAGCUCCGAUUGUCUUCCCAACUGCAAUGACUGGCUCGAAGCCAAAGAGCCGGUCAACCGCUUCAAAACUCAAGAAGACCAGGACUGCUGAGGCUAAAGCAAGGAAACGGAAAUAUCCUGAAGCCUCUCCUACUGCCCCCUCUAAGAAGAAGAGGAAGACCAAGAGAGAUCGGGCUGCUCCCACAGAGCCCUUGAUAGUUGAACCCCUUUCUGUGGUCUAUCCUGAAGCAGAACGACAACUGACAGUUCAUGAGCCUGCUUCCACAGAGGCUCCUGUAGAUGAAGACGUUCCAGCAGCCGACCCCAUCGCUGCUAAAGACAUUGGUCAUCAUGACAAUGUAGAAAAUGAUGCAGUCCUUCCUCAGCAAGACCACAGCGAACUCAUCAGCAUUAGUCGUCCAUUGACGCCAAUUGCCCAGGAUGCUUCAUGGGCAGAUCGCCCCCAAAAGGAAGAAGAAUCUGAGGCCCAGCCCACUCCGACUCCACAGGCGUCGUCUGUGUUACGCAGGCUUCGCAAAGGUCCAAGGCCUCAAAUCUCUGAAGACAUUCCGGCUGCAUCAGCCGCAGAAGAAGAAGUACCACAAGAUCCCACUCCCCUGUUCCACCAAGAAGCAGUUCUCCAGGAGAACGUGCCUGUGUCUGACCCUCCAGCUCGUCAAGUGGAGGAUGCAAAUCGUGAGGCUGCCACUACCAACCAUGAAGCUAAUGUGGAGCCCUCCCCACAAAAAGCAUCAGAAGACAGUGAAGCCACUGAUCCUGAUACUUCUGUUCCUGAGUCUUCUGCCGGUCCCCAAUUUGAUUACCAUGUUGAGCACAGCCCUCAGGUACAGAAGCCGAUCCCAAGACUGCCAAGGUUCCCAGGUCCUGCAUCAGCACCUGGCUCCUUCAACGUCAAUAGCUUCAAGGCAGACAAUACCUUCUUCAAUAGCUCCAAGAACCCCUACUCAAGGGAAAGGAUUUCAUCAGAUCGGUUCUGGAUAUCCUCAGCGAAGCUACUACUCAUGCAUCAUGUACAACCAAGGUCGCAUCUUCCCGCACAAGCGCCUUGAUGUUGAAGCUAUUGCUGGUCUGCCCUGUCUAGAAGAAGCGUUGGAUUGCUUCAAGCAAGUGGGUCUGCUGCAGUUUGUUACUGAUGAAGAGCAUUGGAAUGAAGAGCUACUGCUACAAUUCUAUGCCACACUACACAUCAAAGGAUACAACAGAGAUCCGAAGACUUGGGUUCUGGAGUGGAUGACUGGCAAUGUUCAUCAUGAAGCCAAUGCAUUUGAUAUCAUUGAGCUCACUGGCUUGCCCACUCCUGGCGAUCUCUUCGAGCAAGGCUGUCAGCUGCAUGCUGAAGCUAUUGAGAGCAUCUUUCAGCGACCAGAACCUGAUAUGAGUCAAAUGCUCUCCAUGAUGAAGCCAUUGCCCCAAGAUGCUCCUUAUCCCAUAGAGUUCUUUGUUAAAGACCUUGAGUACCUACCUAGAACCAUCUAUCACAUCAUCAGGCGAACUCUCUGGCCUGUCAAAGGGCACUCUCCAAAUGCCAAGAUUGAGGGUGCAAUGAAGACUCUGAUAUUCUGUAUUCUACAUGGCAAAUUCUUCAAUGCACAGGACUUCUUCAUCCGCCAACUUGCUGCAUCAGGCUCAGAUCUGUUUGGUUUGAAAUUCUAUGCCCCUUGGGUAAUGAGGCUGAUCAAACUUCACUCUGCUAUCUUGUAUCAACCCUCAGCCCGCAACCAUCGGAUCUUCUUGCCUGAUGUGGAUACCUCUGCUGAAGCCAUCUAUCCUGAGCCAGCCAAGCAACCUCUGAGUCUUCAGAACACAGAACACCAGAGCUUCACUCAAAACAUUGAAGGAAUUGAAGAAAUCUCUCGGGUGUAUCUGUUGGCUGGCACUACACGUGCACCAUGCCCUGCUUCCACUGAAGCCACUGACAGCACCACUGCUCCAAGACCCAAGAAGCGCGCUCGUGUUCUCAAUGACCGAGAGCUUCUUGUGGACCUUCAUCAAAAACAGGAUAGGCAUCAUGACUGGCUGAAGCGUCAGAUGAAAAGCCUCUUGGUGGAUGUAAAUCGCAUUCGGAACCUUGCCACCAAGAAUGCAUUCGUUGCACAUGAAACCUGUCGCCGCACAUGGAAAGGACUCACGGUGAUGUGUUCUGAAGCUGAUCUUCAAGAGGAUGGCUUCACAGAGCGAUUCAAGUUUGACUCCACACCUCCUAGAAGAGCUGUGCUGCGAGGCACGCCAUCCCUUGAAGACUCGGAGUUUUCUUCCUCUGCUGCCACAGUGACUGCCAGAAUUAUAGAGGAUGAAGACGAUGCUACAUCACCGCCACCUCCUUCAGCACGCGUCGACACUGCACCAAGCUCUUCAGCACCGCCAAACACCACCGACGACCCUGCCGCUCAUGGGAACGAGUAGAAACUCUAUGUCUUCGAACCUUUUUGGUCCUCACUGACAAAAGGGGGAGAAGCAUAUGAGGUUGAUAGUCUUCAAGCGGGUCAUUAUGGGCAGGUGCUUUAUAUUUUGCUUCGUGCUUACAACUCUCGUCUUGCUACAUUUGGUUCUUUGAGUUGUAACACUUAAACUUGAUGGUCGUCUGCUACUUAUUUACCACCUUGUUUGCAAAGAUAAAUUCCGCAUGUGCGACGAUAAAUUCCGCACUUAGAUCAUUAUGCAGACGUCCAUUUUCCAUUAUGCAUGUCAUUAUCUUCAUAUACUUUUACAUGCAUAGUGGAUUGUCAUCAUAAGUUGAAGUGGAUCUCCACAAGUACAACCUGCCAUGUGCAUUUGCAUUCCAAAAGCAAAUUACUUAUAUGCACAUUUUCAGGGGGAGCCCUUGCAACUUAUGAAGACAAUUCCUUAUCCUUUAAAAUUUCACAGACUAUAUUCCCCAUUGAAAACUUCAACUAGUUUGUCAUCAAAUACCAAAAAGGGGGAGAUUGUAAGUGCAUCUAGUGCCACCCCUAGUUGGUUUUGGAGUAUUGACGACAAACCUAGUUGAGGGACUAAUGUGUUUGUGAGAAUUGCAGGAUAACACAGGUAGAAGUCCCUCAUUGAUUCGGUUUUAUUACCAGAGAUGACCCCUAAAAAUGUACGAAGACAUUGAAGUCAAUGGUGGUAUAUGAAGAUAUUCAUUUUGAAGACUAUGACAAGAGAAGACACUGCAUGAAGCCUAUGGAGCUCGAAGACUUAGAUCUUUCGUAGUUCUCUUUCAUUUGUGUUGAGUCAUAGGAACCACCGUACUGUUAAGUGGGGUCCAAGAGAACCAGUCAGAACGACUGAAGUGAUGCCUAAACAAAAAACCUAUGUCUUCGAGUGAAGAC
rnacentral:lncRNA from 1 species